GACGAACGCUGGCGGCGUGCUUAACACAUGCAAGUCGAACGGUAAGGCCCUUCGGGGUACACGAGUGGCGAACGGGUGAGUAACACGUGGGUGAUCUGCCCUACACUUCGGGAUAAGCCUGGGAAACUGGGUCUAAUACCGGAUAGGACCCUGGGAUGCAUGUCCUGGGGUGGAAAGCUUUUGCGGUGUGGGAUGGGCCCGCGGCCUAUCAGCUUGUUGGUGGGGUGAUGGCCUACCAAGGCGACGACGGGUAGCCGGCCUGAGAGGGUGACCGGCCACACUGGGACUGAGAUACUGCCCAGACUCCUACGGGAGGCAGCAGUGGGGAAUAUUGCACAAUGGGCGCAAGCCUGAUGCAGCGACGCCGCGUGAGGGAUGACGGCCUUCGGGUUGUAAACCUCUUUCAGCACCGACGAAGCGCAAGUGACGGUAGGUGCAGAAGAAGGACCGGCCAACUACGUGCCAGCCGCCGCGGUAA
rnacentral:rRNA from 1 species